AUUGAACGCUGGCGGCAUGCUUUACACAUGCAAGUCGAACGAGUGGCGCACGGGUGAGUAAUAACUCGGAACGUGUCCGAUCGUGGGGGAUAACUGAUCGAAAGGGUAGCUAAUACCGCAUACGAUUGGAGCGGCCGAUGUGCGCUUAGCUAGUUGGUGGGGUAACGGCUCACCAAGGCGACGAUCGGUAGCUGGUCUGAGAGGACGACCAGCCACACUGGGACUGAGACACGGUCCAGACUCCUACGGGAGGCAGCAGUGGGGAAUAUUGGACAAUGGGGGCAACCCUGAUCCAGCCAUGCCGCGUGCAGGAAGAAGGUCUUCGGGUUGUAAACUGCUUUCGUCAGGGAAGCGGUACCUGAAGAAUAAGCACCGGCUAACUACGUGCCAGCAGCCGCGGUAAUUC
rnacentral:rRNA from 1 species